rnacentral:rRNA from 1 species
UAAUUGAAGAGUUUGAUCAUGGCUCAGAUUGAACGCUGGCGGCAGGCCUAACACAUGCAAGUCGAACGGUAGCACAGGGGAGCUUGCUCCCCGGGUGACG